GGCACGGGGUGGGCCGGGGGGCUGAGGGAGGCCCGGGAGGGCCCGGGGCGAGGGGCGGCUCACCCGCUCCACGAGGGCCUGCAGGGCCUCCAGGUCCCCCGCGUGGGCCGCGGCCAGGGCCAGGCUGGACGUGAGGGCGGCCUGUGCCGC